rnacentral:lncRNA from 1 species
UUUAAUUGUAUUAACAGAAGUUUUGUUAAUUAACUGAAUAACGUAGCUGCAGUCUAACUCUGAUCCCAUCUUUUAGAUUUUCACCAACGUGACUCCCAUCUAUGGAUAUUUUCAUGUGUUGAUAGCAAUCGUUAUGUUAUUAUGUGCGUGUCUUGCAUCCGAGGCUAAGCUCCAAGGUCGCUUUUGCUACAAAGCUAGGUAUUUGAUUACAGUUUUUUAUCUCUAAAUAGGAGAGUAAUUUUGCUCUUUAACAGAGCAAAACACGAAUAUGUUGGACGCCUGCUGGCAAAGUUUAUUUUGCCGGGUUCUUUUCCACGGGCACUCAGUAGACACCUGCAAAGAAUAUUGUCGAUUGCAAAACACGGGGAACUCAACAAACAAAUGACACAGAUAGAAUGACAAGUUAACGGCCAUGCUACAUGGCACCAUAGUUUUGCCGUUUUCUGCACUCGGCAAAACUAUGCUCCCGUAGGGCUACCCAGAUGGCGCCAUGUGUAAUGCUUGCCGAGUACAACAUUAUGCAAAGGGGUCCUAGAUACUAGCGUUCUAGCCUAAAGAAGGUGAUUCUAAAUGUCCAUGUUGCUUGAUUGUUACCUUGAUGCUAAUAUUUGAUCUGUUUUCCAAAUUAAAAAUCCCCAUGCAGGAUGUUUAUAAAAUCUGCAUAUAACAUCACCUGCAUCGGAAAUUUCUGUAGCAUUUGAGGAUGAGAAAAUGGUGUAUAUGGUGUUGAAGGAAGCGUAGGAAGAAGCAUCUUGACAAAAGACAUGGCAAAGAUGAUGUCCAAGGGAAAAGCAGGGAAGUAAAACAUAAUUAGUUUAGAGUGGUUAAUGUGAAAGCAGUUUUAGUUUCAGCAAGAGGUGGAUUCUGAAGAUAACAACAGGUCAACAGCACAAGACUAUGAUAAGGCAUAACAUAGUUCUGAUGGGAAGGCAUAACAUAGUUGCUGGAAGAUAUAUUUGUACAAUAACAGGCACGCACAUGCAUGUGUAGUUAUACGGGAUUUAAAAAGAGUUAAUAUGAGAGAUUCAAUUCUGAUAGCUGAAAGAAAAUUACAGAACAAAUUUCUGUAAGGUAGCAGCCCAAUGAAUUGUACAAAUAUUGAUGCAUGCAGGUGAUGAUAUACACUAUCAUGUCAAACCCAGAAUCAAAUGUGUGUUGUGCAUUAAGUUUUCAGUUCUUCGUGACAUGUUUUGAUUAGUUCUGAAGCAUCCAGUUUAACAUCUUAUGUCUAAGACAUUUGGAGAAGGAUGAGAAAGAAUAUUUUGUCCUUAAUUCUAUGUUACAUCAUGGUAUCUAAGGUGAGCAAAUUUAUGGCCUCAAUUCUGGGUAACCCUCAAGGUACAUAAGGUCAAUCAUAUUAAUAGAUAUAGUUCUUUUGGCAAAAAAAUACUAUUGUCAAGACCCUUAAUAGUAUCUUUCAGACAUCCAUUCUUUGAAUAUUGAUGAAAUAUUAUAUACAACAAAAGGGUUUGCUGGAGUUGAUUUUAUUUGAGAUAUUCUAGCGCUGAUUUAAAUAUCAAUUUGAGCCUCUUAUUUGGAGAAUGCAAGGCUAGAGUACCACUUUGUUUGGGAUAGGAUAUGCUUGCUCCAUAACUUUAAUAAUUUGGAACUCAUGUUUAG